rnacentral:rRNA from 1 species
AUUGAACGCUGGCGGAAUGCUUUACACAUGCAAGUCGAACGGCAGCACGGGGCAACCUGGUGGCGAGUGGCGAACGGGUGAGUAAUACAUCGGAACGUGCCCAAUCGUGGGGGAUAACGUAGCGAAAGUUACGCUAAUACCGCAUACGAUCUACGGAUGAAAGCGGGGGAUCGCAAGACCUCGCGCGAAUGGAGCGGCCGAUGUCAGAUUAGGUAGUUGGUGGGGUAAAGGCUCACCAAGCCGACGAUCUGUAGCUGGUCUGAGAGGACGACCAGCCACACUGGGACUGAGACACGGCCCAGACUCCUACGGGAGGCAGCAGUGGGGAAUAUUGGACAAUGGGCGAAAGCCUGAUCCAGCAACGCCGCGUGAGGGAUGACGGCCUUCGGGUUGUAAACCUCUUUCAGUAGGGACGAAGCGAAAGUGACGGUACCUACAGAAGAAGGACCGGCCAACUACGUG